rnacentral:rRNA from 1 species
UACGUAGGGGCCUAGCGUUGUCCGGAUUUAUUGGGCGUAAAGAGCUCGUAGGCGGUUCGGUAAGUCAGGUGUGAAAUCUCCACGCUCAACGUGGAGGCGCCACCUGAAACUGCCGUGACUCGAGUCCGGUAGGGGAGUGUGGAAUUCCCGGUGUAGCGGUGAAAUGCGCAGAUAUCAGGAAGAACACCCGUGGCGAAGGCGGCUCUCUGGGACGGUACCGACGCUGAGACGCGAAAGCGUGGGGAGCAAACAGG